rnacentral:rRNA from 1 species
AACGUAGGAGGCAAGCGUUAUCCGGAGUUACUGGGCGUAAAGCGCGUGUAGGCGGCUCGGUAAGUGGGUCGUGAAAGCACCCGGCUAAACUGGGUGAGGACGAUCGAGACUGCCGUGCUCGAGGGUGGUAGAGGGACAGGGAAUUCCGGGUGUAGCGGUGAAAUGUGUAGAGAUCCGGAGGAACACCAGUGGCGAAGGCGCUGUCCUGGGCCACCUCUGACGCUGAUACGCGAAGGCGUGGGGAGCGAACGGG